UCAGGCCUAACACAUGCAAGUCGAGGGGUAGAAGGAGCUUGCUCCUUUGAGACCGGCGCACGGGUGCGUAACGCGUAUGCAAUCUACCUUUUACAGAGGGAUAGCCCAGAGAAAUUUGGAUUAAUACCUCAUAGUAUAUAUCAUUCGCAUGUUUGGUAUAUUAAAGUUCCAACGGUAAAAGAUGAGCAUGCGUCCCAUUAGUUAGUUGGUAAGGUAACGGCUUACCAAGACGAUGAUGGGUAGGGGUCCUGAGAGGGAGAUCCCCCACACUGGUACUGAGACACGGACCAGACUCCUACGGGAGGCAGCAGUGAGGAAUAUUGGUCAAUGGACGCAAGUCUGAACCAGCCAUGCCGCGUGCAGGAAGACGGUCCUAUGGAUUGUAAACUGCUUUUGUACGGGAAGAAACACUCCUACGUGUAGGAGC
rnacentral:rRNA from 1 species